rnacentral:rRNA from 1 species
CCUACGGGGGGCUGCAGUGAGGAAUAUUGGUCAAUGGCCGGGAGGCUGAACCAGCCAAGUCGCGUGAGGGAAGACGGCCCUACGGGUUGUAAACCUCUUUUGUCAGGGAGCAAGGUGCAGGUCGGGACCUGCUGUGAGAGUACCUGAAGAAAAAGCAUCGGCUAACUCCGUGCCAGCAGCCGCGGUAAUACGGAGGAUGCGAGCGUUAUCCGGAUUUAUUGGGUUUAAAGGGUGCGGAGGCGGAGUCACAAGUCAGCGGUAAAAUUCUGGGGGUCAACCCCCCCUGCGCGUUUGAAACUGUGUCCCUUGAGUGCGCGAAGGGUAGGCGGAAUGCGUGGUGUAGCGGUGAAAUGCUUAGAUAUCACGCAGAACUCCGAUCGCGAAGGCAGCUUACCGGCGCGCAACUGACGCUCAUGCACGAAAGCGUGGGUAUCGAACAGGAUUAGAUACCCCAGUAGUC